GUGUUUCUGGAGUAUCUAUUCAAGAGUGAGUUGGCUAACAAUUAAGAGAAAUAAAGUGGAAGACAGCCUCCACUGUUCCUAUUUUACUAUAAGUCUCUUGGGAGAAGGACUGACUCUUCAAUCCCUGUUGUAUGCAGCACACUAAACAGGACAGCGUCUUCCACCGUCACCCAGGCUGGAGUGCAAUGGUGCAAUCUUGGCUCACUGCAACCUCUGCCUCCCAGUUCAAGCGAUUCUCCUGCCUCAGCCUCCUGAGUAGCUGGGAUUAUAGGACCCUGCCAUCACACCAGGCUGAUUUCUUGUAUUUUUAGUAGAGACAGGAUUUCUUUUGGCCAAAAUAGGCCAAGCUUGUCUUGAACUCCUGACCCCCUGAUCUGCCUGCCUUGGCCUCCCAAAGUGUUGGGAUUACAGGAGUGAGCCAGCCUCCUCUCAUUCUAAAAUGGAUAUGAUGUGGCCCAAAUGCAUAAUACUAUAUUAUUUGACCACAAAUUGUUAGUCUCCACUCUCAAUACAAAAAGUCAAUUAUCUCCAAUACUAAAAACAGGCCAAAAAUAUUACAUUUAUGAAUUGUUCAUAAGACAAAACCACAAAUAAGGUAACAAGUCUCAAAGUCUUAUUUUCCCAAAAAGGUACUUUUUUUCAACUAAAAGAAAUGUACUGUUAUAGUUUACACCUGUGAGAAAGUUCAACAAAAGAAAGGAAUCUAAUAACUUACCCAAAUUUCCAUUUGAUUUUAUAAACAUUUUCACAUAAUCUAAGAAAUAGAAAAUGCAAACAAAUUUGUCAUGGGCAUUAAAUUGAGGCAAUUUCUAUGUGCUGAUUCAAAUAAAAGAUUUGGCCCCGUUCCUUUGGAUGAUGUAUCUGCCAACCGUCAAAUGUCAGGCUAGAUGAGGUUGGAGCAGAGAAGAGGAAGAGCAGACUGGAAAAGAGAGACUCCUUCUGCUUACACUGUCACCUUUCAGCACUACCCAUGCACUGUUGUCAGGAACCAUCAGUGCAUUUGGUCUAACAUUCAGUCCAAUCCUACCAUCUGGACAGUUCAGUACACUUCUGCUGAUUUAAAACUCAAAGUAAUAAGGAGGUUUUUGUUUGAUGAAAAGGGUCUGAGGUAGAGCAGGAAGGCAACAUAAGUUCAAGUUCCUGGAGAGAGUGUCUAGAACAGAGAGCCUUGGCAUCUAGAGGGUCCAGAAAAUGGAAGACAGGAGUUCGGCAAGGUAGGUAAAGUAAGGUAAGUAAUAUUCUACAUUUGGAAUAGUAAGACAUGAGUAUAAACUAUAGAGGUGGUCCAACGAUUGGCUAAACAUAGAUACUGCAUCAAUUAUAAGAGCAAAAAAAUAAGUAGUCAAGAAGGAAGUAAAAAACAAGAAAAUUGUAGGAGACAGAUAAACAAAGCAAUGAGGAUGGUGGAAGGAGGCUCAGACAGGAAGGGGCUUAGACAGGAUUUCUAUUACUCCUGGGCCUUAUGGACACUGGGCAAUAUUUCUAAUGUGUAUUUUUGUUUAUUAAAAAAAAGUUGUGUUUUAUUGUUUCUAAAAUGACAUGCUACUUCAGUAAUUAGAAAUUAUAUGAAAUAUUAUCAUUUCCCCCCAUAUACGUAGCUUUUAGAGAACCCCAGAGGAAGCUGAAAGAAAAGAAUGUCCACUCAGUCAGCCAGAUGUGUUCAAUGGAAAGAUAGUCUAAUAGAAACAUAGUGUUAUACGACAGCUAAUUCACUCUCGCUUUCAAAAUAAACCCUUAUAUUUCAUCCUUUGACA
rnacentral:lncRNA from 13 species